AGUGAACGCUGGCGGUAGGCCUAACACAUGCAAGUCGAACGGCAGCACAGUAAGAGCUUGCUCUUACGGGUGGCGAGUGGCGGACGGGUGAGGAAUACAUCGGAAUCUACUUUUUCGUGGGGGAUAACGUAGGGAAACUUACGCUAAUACCGCAUACGACCUACGGGUGAAAGCAGGGGAUCUUCGGACCUUGCGCGAUUGAAUGAGCCGAUGUCGGAUUAGCUAGAUGGCGGGGUAAAGGCCCACCAAGGCGACGAUCCGUAGCUGGUCUGAGAGGAUGAUCAGCCACACUGGAACUGAGACACGGUCCAGACUCCUACGGGAGGCAGCAGUGGGGAAUAUUGGACAAUGGGCGCAAGCCUGAUCCAGCCAUACCGCGUGGGUGAAGAAGGCCUUCGGGUUGUAAAGCCCUUUUGUUGGGAAAGAAAAGCAGCAGGUUAAUACCCCGCUGUUCUGACGGUACCCAAAGAAUAGGCACCGGCUAACUUCGUG
rnacentral:rRNA from 1 species